rnacentral:rRNA from 1 species
UGGGAUAACACCUGGAAACAGAUGCUAAUACCGGAUAACAACACUAGACGCAUGUCUAGAGUUUGAAAGAUGGUUCUGCUAUCACUCUUGGAUGGACCUGCGGUGCAUUAGCUAGUUGGUAAGGUAACGGCUUACCAAGGCAAUGAUGCAUAGCCGAGUUGAGAGACUGAUCGGCCACAUUGGGACUGAGACACGGCCCAAACUCCUACGGGAGGCAGCAGUAGGGAAUCUUCCACAAUGGACGAAAGUCUGAUGGAGCAACGCCGCGUGAGUGAAGAAGGGUUUCGGCUCGUAAAGCUCUGUUGGUAGUGAAGAAAGAUAGAGGUAGUAACUGGCCUUUAUUUGACGGUAAUUACUUAGAAAGUCACGGCUAACUACGUGCCAGCAGCCGCGGUAAUACGUAGGUGGCAAGCGUUGUCCGGAUUUAUUGGGCGUAAAGCGAGUGCAGGCGGUUCAAUAAGUCUGAUGUGAAAGCCUUCGGCUCAACCGGAGAAUUGCAUCAGAAACUGUUGAACUUGGGUGCAGAAGAGGAGAGUGGAACUCCAUGUGUAGCGGUGGAAUGCGUAGAUAUAUGGAAGAACACCAGUGGCGAAGGCGGCUCUCUGGUCUGCAACUGACGCUGAGGCUCGAAAGCAUGGGUAGCGAACAGGAUUAGAUACCCUGGUAGUCCAUGCCGUAAACG